UUCUACUCGCGUACGAUUUCUCUGCGGGGAAUGAGCGCGGCAAUAAUGGCGCACGGGGAGGGGAAUCGAGGUCGACGGACGGCGCCGAACCCUCUCCUCUCCCCUUCUUGUGAUUCGUUAAAUACCGUCGGGGUGGGAUGGUAGGAGGCGUAUUCCUCUCCCGGCCUGUUCUUCCCCGCGGCUGCCGGCGGCCGGAGCUUCCGCCUGUCGAGUGUCGACGAGUCGUGCUCAGCACCCGCCACCCGUUCGACGAAAUGGGCAAGAAGGCUGCUGGCACCGGCGAGGAUCCCUUCCGCCUCCUCCCCGACGACCAGCUCGACCACAUCCUGUCCCUUCUGCCGGGAGAUGAUGCCCUGCAGACUUGCUUGCUUGACACCCAGUGGCGUUACUUUUGGAGGCGCAAUCCCUGCACUGGUGUGGACCAUAUCAGUUUCAAACAAACCAAUCGAUUGAUUAACGAGUACAUUUUAAAGUGCCGCUGUGUUCUGUGGACGCACCAGUAUCACCUGGUACACGUCUCAUCUCCCGCCACUUGAGGCACACAACAUUUUAUUAUGUUGACCUCAUAGAUUCCUCGGCGGAUUUCUAGGGCUGCCCAGUAUUAGAGCAGCUAACAAUACAAAGUUGCCUUGUUGACGCGUUUGAGAUUUUUUUUGUUGUUGAAAAGGAGGCGUACCUCCGGCCUCUGCAUCAAUCGAUGCAUGCUGCCCAGUAUUAGAGCAGCUAACAAUAGAAAGUUGCCUUGUUGACGCGUUUGAGAUAGUACGUUCUAAAUCACUAAAGCAUCUGUGAUUCAUUGGGGAGGACAAUAUCUUCCCUGAGGAUAUCCACAUGGAUAGUGAUGCCCCAUGUCUUAUCUCGUUGGAACUAGGAGAUUCUCAGGGCUUGACUCCUUCCCUUGAAGAGAUGCCAUUACUGGGAAAAGCAUCCAUUUUGCUUGGCCGUGCGUACUGUGGUGUCUGUGAAACUGACGAGGACGAUUUUCUUACAUGUGGAUGUGCCAGCGAGAAGUGUCUGCUUCUCAACGGAUUGUCCAAUGCUGUUGAGUUGAAAUUGAUUGCUAUGCCUGAAUUGGUAUGCUCUGCACUAUCUUUCUUACUCUUACUGUUACUUUGCCAGUUGCCACCCAUAGUUUCUGUUGUAGCUGUAGUAUUUAUAUCCAUUGUUAGAGCCGCAUAUAGUCUAGUUAUUUAUUUUCACACCACAGCUUCCUAACUUCAUCUUCACCCAUUGGGCCUGAAAUCAACAAAUUAAUAACAUCGUGGCUCUAUUGGAUAAAAUGUGAUAGUUUGCGGACAUAGUAUAGAUUUUCUUUUCCUAGUUUUGAAAUUAAAGUAUCUAACUGAAGUUCCUAGUAUAUUGUACCAGAGUCUCAGACUGUUUUUUUCUGUUCAUUUGCAAUUUGUCCAGCUUAUCUUCAAACAGGAUUUGGAAUGGUGCCCUAAUUCUGACAAAUAAAAGACUCUCGUACUCAAUGAGUGGUUUACGGCUAUUGACCUAUUUUGCAUUCUCCAACAAUCUCCAAAUCUUGAGAUACCCACUCUUCAGUGUUAUGACACCGUGGUAUAUGCUGUAUGGAUAACAAUGUUGCUAUAUUAUUUAAGGUGUUUUCAUGGAUGCUGUAUUUGCCUUACUAAGUGCUCUUAUCUGAUAGAACAUUGUAGGAGCAACAGGAGCCCAGGAAACAAUAGAGCAGCCACUUGUGUGUGCACACCUUAAUUAAGUUUGUUUACAUUGAAUGUGACGAGGUUGAUGAGGGAGUAGUGAAAUUUUGAAUAUCUUAAGUAGAUGCGGCAUACUUAGUGAGCAAAUUACCAUCAAGGCGGGUCUGUGUCCAUACUCAGAUUGUAAGUUACCUUUGUCUAUAUUUAGGAUCCAUUAUAGGUCAGAUUGUAUGACAACCCUUCCAACAUGUCUGAUGUAAUUACACAUGACUUAGAAUGUAUGACACAGACCCCCCCUCCAAAUCCAUCCAUAUUUUGUAUUCAUUAUCCUUCACUAUAAAUUGGAUCUGCAUGCUGAUGGAGCUUAGAAUGACUGUUAUAUUUCAACAUAGUUUAUUAUUCUGUAAUUGCUGGUCACACUACAAUAAGUAGCCCACAUUUUUUAUUCUCCUCUUUUUUUUCUGUUCAAAAAAUUAUAGAUCUGUACCAUCCAUGCAAAAUCAUUUUGUAUUCUCUUCUCAUUUUUUUUCAGUUCAAAAGUUAUCUAAUCCUUUUACUGUUUAUUGGGUGAUGAAAAUAGUAGCUGUUCUCAUCUUGACAUUCAGUUUAGGUCUUCUCUCGUGUUCCAUUUGGUAGAAUAUAUAUCACUAAGAAUGAUAGUGGGUAGAAUGUACAGUAUAGUGCUCUGCAUCCAUCCAGCAAGGACUGCCUUUGCCUUGCUGUAUUUACUGUUGUUCCCCGAGUCUUAUCUCACUCUAGUUGGAUGAUUUUUAAGGUGCCAUUGCUAGAAACAGCCUAUGUCCGACCUAACGAUGGAUGUCAUGAUUUCUGUCACAAGAACAGGCGGGAUUUUGGUAUUUUAUCUUCAUCUAAUGCACCCCAAUCAUUGGCUAAUAAUAGUGUCUUGAUUGGAUAAAAAAUAUAUGAUAUUUUAGGUUCUUACAGCAUAAAUUAUUUAAUCUUCUAGAGUCUCAGAUUCUUUUUUGUUGUUUGCAAUUUGCUUAGUUUCUCUACAGACGGGAUUUGAAAUGGCGUCCCAUCUUUGGCAAAAUGAAGACUCUGUUUCUUAAUGUUUCUCUACAGACGGGAUUUGAAAUGGCGUCCCAUCUUUGGCAAAAUGAAGACUCUGUUACUCAAUGAGUGGUUUAUCUUCAUUGUCGCAUUUUGUUUCUCUACAGACGGGAUUUGAAAUGGCGUCCCAUCUUUGGCAAAAUGAAGACUCUGUUACUCAAUGAGUGGUUUAUCUUCAUUGUCGCAUUCUGUUUCUCUUUAGACGGGAUUUGAAAUGGCGUCCCAUCUUUGGCAAAAUGAAGACUCUGUUACUCAAUGAGUGGUUUACGGCCAUUAACCUAGUUUGCAUUCUCCGACAGUCUCCAGUCCUUGAGAUACUCACUCUUAAGCUUGAUAACACUGAGAAAAUUGUAGGAGCAAGUCCGUUUACGUUGAAUGUGAAGAGGUUGACGAGGGAGUUCGUGCAAUCUUGAAUAUCUUAAGUACAUGUGGCAUACUUCAUGAGAAGAUUAGCAUCAAGGAGGGUCCACAUACGAACUCAGAUUGCACCGGAGCUCAGUCCCUCCCCCUCCCCCCUCGCUCAAGGGUUCAGCCGCCGCUAGGGUUCCAGGCGCCACGACCCCUCCUCCCUCGACGACGGGCGGCCUCCUCGGAGCCCUGCCGGAGCCGGCGAGCGCGGCCCCAACGCCCCCAUGCAGCCGGCCGAAGCAGUCCUCGGAGGUAGCAGAGACCAUCAUAGGCAAGGAGGCGAUGCGCGCCGAUCGCGACGCAGGGCGUGGACACCCUCGUGUGCGUAGGAAUUGGAAAGGUGGGCCACGAGCUUCGCGCCGGGUAGAUCGGCGAGCUUAUCUUGGAAGGUAGCAGAGGCCAUCAUAUCCGGCGGCCAGGAGGCGGUAUCUUCUCGGUCAUGGGGCUUAGGCCUUGCCUCAGAACCAUCUUCAUCCUCUCGCUCCUGUUUCCCAGCAGCUCCCAUCUCCACCCUUGUGUUCUAUUCUACCUCUACAUGGCAGUUUCCGCCUAGCCGGAAUACUGUUCCGCGUCCCUCGAUCUCUUUUUGCUCCGCCUCCGACGCUGCCGUCGGAGACCACUAAUGGCCCGUCGCGAGCCUUGAAGAUCUCGACUCGGCGACAUGCGCAGAUGAACAAGUAUGUGAAAAAUGUCGAUCAUGUAUUUGAAAAAUAUUGAACAAGUAUUUAAUAAUGUUGAAUCAAUAUUUGAAGAAAUAUUUUUCAUUUAUAAAAAAUGUUGAACAAGUAUUUGGAAAAUGUUGAACAAGUAUUUAGAAAAUGUUGAAAAAGUAUUUUAAGAAAUGUUGGGAAAAUGAAAAAAAGAAUUUCCCAAAAAAGGAGGGACCUGGAAAUGAAAAACAAACCUACAAUAAUAUGAAUCCUCUUCUGGGGGAUCGUAAUGUCAAGUUGCUUUCUUACUCGAAAGCUGUUGCGCGGUACUCGAAAGUACUAAAUAGAUAGGCGUUUGGGCUAGGUAAACGAAAAGAGGCAAACUACCGUUGUUUUAGGAGGUAUGGGAGGGCGGAGACCGAUCAAGAGAUGUGUCUUUUCUUGGCUAUCCGGAUUUAUUGCAUCAUUCCUUCCUGUGAUGCCUUUUCCCCCAUCCAUCUCCUAUGCUAUGCCUGGAGUUAGCACAGUCUAUGAGUCGGUCCUGGAACUCCUUCUUUCUAUGUAUAGACAUAAGGAGGUUCUGCUUUCUAUUUAUAGGUACUGGAUCGUAGUAUUUCCUAAAAAAAGUACCUAUAAUCACAUGAAAACCUAUCACAGUUGGGGGUUGUAGCCUUUUUGUUUCCGCUGCUUCAAUAGUUCCGUCCAGCGAAGAGCACUCUGGCAGCAUCACAUGAAAACCUGUCACAGUUGGGGGUUGUAGCCUUUUUGUUUCUGCUGCUUCAAUAGUUCCGUCCAGCGAAGAGCACUCUGGCAGCAACCCUAUAUUGGAUGUAGCACCAGUUGUUCCUGUUGUAUAGCUUGAAGACGACGAUGAUGGAGGAGGACGAGGAGGAAGCCAUCAAAUUGCACUUAUGCACUUGGUGCCCUUGGUGGCUUCCGCCCCGACGACGACGACGACAUCAGAGGGCUUAGACGUCACGAAUUUGUCCUCCCGGGACGCGUGAUCAUGCAAUGUAGCACCUUCAGUGCAGCCUUCCAGUCGGCUGUCACCGUCGUGUGUGUUGGGCAUGGGCGAGCAUGGUGAACAUGGGUCAAAGGCAGACGUGGCACGCGUGCCGGACACUGGGGCGGGGCAGCCAGCCGUCUUACUGGUCCGUUGGCAAGCGUCUCGGCUUCCUGCCGGCGAGGAGCACGGGAGGAAGAGGCGGCACUGAACAAAACAAGCCAUCUUACUGGUUCUUUUCUUCUUGCUCUAACCCGCCGUAAGAGUCCCGUUCUCCUUGGUCCAGUUUAAAAACAAUGUGCUGGACUAUACACCCUCAGUGGCUCGGCCUCCUCUGUUUGCUCAGGUCUAGGUUGAACUGGACGAACUCAUCAGCAGCCGGUGGGUGCGCUCUUUCAUAGUUCUUUUCUGUUUCCUUCCGUGUUCUUUUCUUCUUUGACCUCCUUCUUGUUGUUCCUCUUUGUUCCUCUUGGGGUGACAGUUGCUUGAUGCGCUACUCAGCGACUCAGUGUCUUCCUCCUCAUCUUCGUCCUCCUCCUCGUAGACCCCCCACGGCCAUCUCCUCUCGCUGCUGAGGUCAAUAACCUCGAUGCCUUCCCCAUCCCGAUCCUAGCUGUAUGCCUGUAUCUGCUUGUUGUCUCCUUGCUAGACCACGCAUAGCUGCCGCCCGGAGAUGGAGGGUGCCACCGGGCUUCACGCCGCUCUGUAACCUGGUAAGGCCAUCGCGCUUUCAUCUCCAAGCUACUUUCAACAUCCUGCUCCCACCUGCAUCUCUAGCUUUCGGGUACUGCGGCAAGCACUUGCUCGACCCGAAAGCCGUCGUGUUCCUAAUCUCAACUUUUGUAUUCCGGAGGUCACAUCGGUACACAUGGAUGCCUCAGCCUCGACAUCGGCACGGAACAUCCUACCCGACACGCGCGGUGAGGCUGAGGAGACGACCGACCGAGCCCCACUGAAGUUUUUGAUCAUACCGUCGAGCACGGGCACCAUGGAGCUUACCGUCGCACAUGUCUUGAGAGGGUUCUCUCCAGCAAUGUAAUUUAUGUCGGGUCCUAUUCCUGUGUUGUCGCCUGCUUAGGGAUGAACUAUUUGGUCACUUAAGCUAGUUUUUGUAAGGAAGUAACUUUUUUGACUACCUCCAAAUCACUCAAUUUUUUACACAUGAUCUCUUAUACAACCCUAGAGAGAAUUGGAAGUGAUUUUUUGACCUCCUCCUUGAGAUAAUUGGGAGAUGGUCUAGAAAAUCACUUGCUUACCUGAUAUCUUGUUUAUGAUCUGCAUGCGACCAUCUACCUGAUAUCCUGUUUAUGACCUGCAUGACACGAGGGAAAACAAUUUGGGUUGAUUCGGAGAUGGUCGAAAAAACCUAUUGCUUAGGGACGAACGGUUUGGUCACUUAAGCAGCUGUUUGAAGCUAGCAGCUCUAUCAUAACCACAAACUGUAUUUCAUUUUCACCAUAUGUAUUUUAGAACCACAACAUGUAUUUUAUUUGGGAAAAAUGUAUUUCAGAUGCCCAAAAUGUAUUUCAGUUGUUCAAAAUGUAGCACUAGUAGAACGGGAGAAGGCUGAGGUGGUGGUGGUGGUGCACCAGCGAGGUUAGCGGACAAGGCCGCAACAGAUUUGUCUCCCGAAGGUAAGCCCGAAGAUCAACCGCGUCAUCGCGUGUGCCUAACAGCUUUUCCACACCCAUGCUGCCGUCAAAUACCAUCUUAAGGUAUAGUCCUAGAUUUUGACCUAAGAUCAGAAACUGGCCUCACAUUCUCUUGACAUAUUUGUAUGAGAUCAUGUGUACCAAAUUUGAGUUGAUUUGGAGGAGGUCGGAAAAAUCACUUGCUUGCAAAAACUGGCUUAAGUGAGACCAACGGUCCGGUCCUAAGCAAGUGAUUUUUUAUCUCCUCCAAAUCAGCCUAAAUUUGUUUUACACGGUGAAAUGCAGGUCACAAAUAGGUUUAUCAAGAAAUUUUCAUAAAAUGUGAAGUUUACGAUGCCCCCUUAAGGUAUAGUCCUAGGUUUUGACCUAAGAUUCAACGAGUCACUAUAAAUUCAAAAAAAGAAAAAAAAUGUAAAACCUUCACAUUCUCUUGAUAUAUUUAUAUGAGAUCAUGUGUACAAAAUUUGAGUUGAUUUGGAGAAGGUCGAAAAAAUCACUUGUUUACAAAAACUGGCUUAAGUAAGACCAAACACGGUCCGUUCCUAAGCAAGUGAUUUUUUAUCUCCUCGAAAUCAGCCUAAAUUUGCUUUACAUGGUGAAAUGCAGGUCACAAAUAGGAUUAUCAAGAAAUUUUCAUAAAAUGUGAAGUUUACGAUGCCCCCUUAAGGUAUAGUCCUAGGUUUUGACCUAAGAUUCAACGAGUCACUAUAAAUUCAAAAAAAAUCAAAAAAUGUUAAACCUUCACAUUCUCUCGAUAUAUUUGUAUGAGAUCAUGUGUACAAAAUUUGAGUUGAUUUGGAGGUCAGAAAAAUCACUUGCUUGCAAAAACUGACUUAAGUGAGACCAGACGGUUUGUUCCUAAGCAAGUAAUUUUUUUUUAUCCCCUCCAAAUCAGUCUAAAUUUAUUUUACAUGGUGAAAUGCAGGUCACAAAUAGGAUUAUCAAGAAAUUUUAAUAAAAUGUGAAGUUUGCGAUGCCCCCUUAAGGUAUAGUCCUAGGUUUUGACCUAAGAUUCAAAAAGGCACUAUAAAUUCAAUAAAAAAUAAAAAAUAUUAAACCUUCACAUUCUCUCGAUAUAUGUGUAUGAGAUCACGUGUACAAAGUUUGAGUUGUUUUGGGGGCGGUCAAAAAAAUCACUUGCUUGCAAAAACUGGCUUAAGUGAGAUCAAACGGUUCGUUCCUAAGCAAGUGAUUUUCUUGAUCUCCUCCAAAUCAACCUAAAUUUGUUUUACAUGGUAAAAUGCAGGUCAUAAAUAGGAUUAUCAAGCAAUAUUUUCAUAAAAUGUGAAGUUUACGAUGCCCCCUUAAGGUAUAGUCCUAGGUUUUGACCUAAGACUCAAUGAGGCACUCUAAAAUCAAAAAAAAAGGAAAAACAUUCACAUUCUCUCGAUAUAUGUGUAUGAGAUUACGUGUAGAAAGUUUGAGUUGUUUUGGAGGCGGUCAAAAAAAUCACUUGUUUGCAACAACUGGCUUAAGUGAGACCAAACGGUCCGUUCCUAGGCAAGUGAUUUUUUUGAUCUCAUCCAAAUCAGCCUAAAUUUGUUUUACAUGGUGAAAUGGAGGUCAUAAAUAGGAUUAUUAAGAAAUUUUCACAAAAUGUGAAGUUUACGAUGCCCCCUUAAGGUAUAGUCCUAGGUUUUCACAAAAUGUGAAGUUUACUCGCUCGACUACGUGACCAAAAGUGCCUCCUUAGAAUUUGUGUUGAACUUCACUAGCAUUUCCAUGUUUGAUUUAAUGUGGGAACAUAACAGCCUGCUUUUUCGAUAUGAUGUUUCGGUCUGCGAGUUGGCAUGCCCCAGCUAUGUUUCCAACAUUGUGUUAGGCGAUGAGUCAGACAUUCUCGAGCAACAUCUCGACUCGGAAGUCUGUGUUGUUAAGUUGUUGAUGGUACUUGUAAUCUCUGAGCCAUGUAAUGGAUCAUCCGUUUUUUUAGAUGAUUUUCCUCCCUUUAGUUCUUCCAGAAGGAUUUGAUGGAUUCUUUGUAAGCUAAAUUACUUUUAUUGUUUUGUUGGUUUCAUUGCUUUUUCCCUAGGUAAAGAUGUUGAACUUUUUUUCUUUUCUUUUCCUUAGUGUGUCCCUUGCUCAAAGGUCGUGCACUUCAAUUCUGUGAUGAAUCUUCAAUUUAUUGUAGAGUGGGACACAAACAUACUAGGCGAUCUUGAUAAUAAGAGGAUAAAAAAAGUGCAGCACCUCUGCUCCGUCCCUACACAGCAUUGGCUCACCAGCCUGCUAGAAAAUCUUCACAGUUUUUAA